CCCUAGCCCAGAUGAUCCAGAAGUUUCGGGGGGCAUCCUUUUUAUCUCGUUUUGUUGACGAGUUAAAAAGAUAUAGUGGACAGCUGGAAAUAGC
rnacentral:sRNA from 1 species